rnacentral:rRNA from 1 species
AGAACGAACGCUGGCGGCGUGCCUAACACAUGCAAGUCGAGCGAGAAAGCCCGCAAGGGUGAGUACAGCGGCGCACGGGUGCGUAACACGUGAGUAAUCUGCCCUGAAGCCCGGAAUAACCUCCCGAAAGGGAAGCUAAUGCCGGAUAAGCCCACGGGAGCCUUGGCUCCUGAGGGAAAAGGUGGCCUCUGUAUACAAGCUAUCACUACAGGAUGAGCUCGCGGCCCAUCAGCUAGUUGGCGGGGUAACGGCCCACCAAGGCUACGACGGGUAGCUGGUCUGAGAGGACGAUCAGCCACACUGGAACUGAGACACGGUCCAGACUCCUACGGGAGGCAGCAGUGGGGAAUCUUGCGCAAGUGGGCGAAAGCCUAGACGCAGCAACGCCGCGUGUGUGAUGAAGGUCUUCGGAUCGUAAAGCACUGUCGCGAGGACGAAUAAGUCCGCGCUAACAUCGGCGACGAUGACGGUACCUACGAAAGGAAGCACCGGCUAACCG